AACUGAAACACGGUCCAUACACCUACGGGUGGCAGCAGUAGGGAAUAUUGCACAAUGGGCGAAAGCCUGAUGCAGCAACGCCGCGUGCACGAUGAAGGCCUUCGGGUCGUAAAGUGCUUUUCUGGGAGAUGAGAAAGGACAGUAUCCCAGGAAUAAGUCUCGGCUAACUACGUGCCAGCAGCCGCGGUAAAACGUAGGAGGCGAGCGUUAUCCGGAUUCACUGGGCGUAAAGCGCGUGCAGGUGGCCUAGUAAGUUAGGCGUGAAAUCUCCCGGCUCAACUGGGAGAGGUCGUCUAAUACUACCGGGCUAGAGAACAGAAGAGGAAGAUGGAAUUCCCGGUGUAGUGGUGAAAUGCGUAGAUAUCGGGAGGAACACCAGUGGCGAAGGCGAUCUUCUGGUCUGUUUCUGACACUCAGACGCGACAGCUAGGGUAGUAAACGGGAUUAGAGACCCCGGUAAUCCUAGCCGUAAACGAUGUGAACUUGGCGUUGGUGGGUUAAACUCCAUCAGUGCCGAAGCAAACGCGAUAAGUUCACCGCCUGGGGACUACGGCCGCAAGGUUA
rnacentral:rRNA from 1 species